UGGCCGGACAUGCUGCAGCAGCAGAGCUCUUUGGCUCAUUAGGCUUCAUGGUUGCAGCCCUGCCGCUAUCUAAUGACGGACUCGUUAACUGAGACCUGCGCUGGUGUGGAGAGACAUUCCCUUACGCACAAUUCACCCUCUGCGUCUGACACCUUCCAAGAUUUUUUUUUUUUACCAUCUCUAAGGAUACUAUAACUACUGGGACUUGUUAUUGUUAUUUUUUUCUUUUUGGUUCUUUUUGGUGGUUUGGAGGGGCGGGGGAGGUCACUGCCAUUCUUAAUUGAUGGGAGGUAAGUUUGAGGACAUGUCACAUUUUGAAGCCCAAGGUUGACUGAUUGGGGCAGAACGAUGGAAUGUGGCGUCCAGAGGGAUGACGAAGCAUCAAAAUAAUGGACAGCGGGCAGGUCGGGAGUGCUGAACAGGGGGAAAAUUGGAUUGACGGCACACAGCUGUGAGAAGUGUACUAACACAGAUGUGAGGGUGAGGAAGGUGAGGAUGGGAGGGAGGGGAUAUUGGGCAGCAUUGGUUGGCUCAGUAGAUGUGUGUCACCGGCCGAACCCACAGCACUUAGGGUAGUAACCCAAUUUCUCCUCUCUCUGUAACGGAUUACUAUAGCUAGGCAAGGCAUGCAGGGCACAGAGUACUGCAGUGCUAUCGCCCAAACCAGAACAGACAUAACAACCACUGGGCUAAUUCGCUGGUUCACGUUCCCCAACCUUCAUCCCGCUGUGUGUAGGAAAGAAUUUCACCCCCUCUCUCUCCUAUGUGCUCACCCUCUCGGGUGGCUGUGACAUUUCCUAAACAGGACGUCACACCUUUAGGACCAGGCUCAUCCACCAACUGUCACCUCCAGUUCAACCUCCCCUCAUUGCUAUUCCAAACCGUUCCACUGCAAACACAUUGCACCAAUUUUCCCAUUUAUUCUGUUCUCUACAAUCAGGUCUCCAAACUCAACCCUAAGCUAGUCUUUACUAAUCCAUUUUUCGUUUUACACCCAUUGCCUCAGCACCCAGCCUGCUGGCUAGCUAAGCGUGGCUGGAGGCAGUGUUGACUUGUGGAAUGUGUUGGUCGGGGGCAAAGUUUCAUUAGAGACUUGCUGAACAAUUCUCGCGACCAUGCAAAUGGUUAUUGAUCUGUUCCACCCACUCUGCAACAGAACAGCAGGUUUCUCUGUAGACAUAGACAGGUGAGGUUUGAUCAGAGGAAAAAGGAAGUCAGAAAAGAUGACCAUAAAAACAGUGAUCUAUGUGUGGGAAGAGAGAGAGAACAAGGUACAGAAAGUGAGAGAGGGGGAGGUCGGUGGGGGUAUAGCCAGGACCAAUCCACAAGUGCUGAGUGGGCAUUAGCGCCUUCAUGUGACCUAUGGCCUGCCUCUGCGCCUAAAGCCCAAAUCCUGCUCACAAUAGCUUCCUGUUCCACUUGGAUCACCCUCGUUUUCAAACAUCAGCAAGCGCUCAAACUAGCCACUGGGGACGUUGCUGACACAAGAGAGACAAGGGACAGGCAAGAGCUACAUAUUGGUAAAAGUAGAGGUAGGAAAGGAGAGAGGAUACAGAAACUGGGGGUGAAAUAGGAGAAUGAGAUGGUGGUGAGGGAGGCAGACUGAAAGAGAAGUGGGAGGAGAGAAGUGAAAGUGUUUAGUGUGUCAGCGGGGCCAAUCAGCUUAUAGGUGCACCCCUGCUCACAAGACACACGGUCCAAAGCAGAUGAUCAUCAUACAAGACAAGGUGCACACAGAGGCACCUUACACCAUGGACUUUCUAUCAAGGAGAAAACUCUUCCCUCCUUUGCUGCCGUUUUUGUCCAAACCCUUAAUCUACCUCAACAUUUUUCAUGAAAAAGAGAAAAAGUCCACCUUCUAAAUGCUGUAAAAAAAGAAAAGAGGAGCUGUAUUCCUGCCCCUGGUUUCUCCCAGAACUUUGUCUGGAGGACACCGGGGGUCACCGGGACAGUCGACUAUGGUAUGGACUGCAAACCUUCUAUUAUGUUCAGGGGCGGGGGGACGGGCUGUUCAGCCUUACAUGGCAACCAAAGGAAAGCCUUGAGUGUUGAACUGAAUUUACUCUCAAAGUCACCUUACAGUGCAGACUACCAUACUUGGGAGAGAGAACGGUGAGGAAAAAUGUUCUGCUUAUAACUUCCUGACCUUGGCGAAAGUGCUCCAAUAUGGCUGAAGGGGAAAAGCAAGCAAGAAUGGGUGAAGGUGAACAGGCAUGAAAAAGCAGGAGAGCGAAGGAGCAUUGUCCAUUUCAACUAGUGGGUGAGCAUGGUAUGCAAACCCAAAUCCAUGUUUUAAUAAGAUGUUUAAAUGCAAAAUGGCCUUUCUCUGCUCAGUGUUUCCCUGGCUCUUUUCAGAUAAAACUCACUUCAUAGCAGUUCCCAGUCCAUCUCGGAAACAAUGAUUCCACAAUGCUUUGCUAAAGCUGGUAAAAUGGAACCAAAUCACCUCUUGAAUGGAUUUGGUCCCCUUCAACCAGCUGUAGCUAUGCUUUGAUGACUACAGGAGCUCAUUUUGCUGUGAUGUCUUCAACAAUCACUGUAAUGGCAGUGGGCCACUUCUUGAUGAUGACUGGCUUAUGGCUUUUCUCUACCAACAACAUCUGUGUAACUGUCAUGUUCCAUGCUAAACCUGUCUUAUUUUUGACUAAUAAAGACAUCAAUCCCAGCUUCAAAA